GAUGAACGCUGGCGGCGUGCCUAAUACAUGCAAGUCGAGCGAACAGACGAGGAGCUUGCUCCUCUGACGUUAGCGGCGGACGGGUGAGUAACACGUGGAUAACCUACCUAUAAGACUGGGAUAACUUCGGGAAACCGGAGCUAAUACCGGAUAAUAUAUUGAACCGCAUGGUUCAAUAGUGAAAGACGGUUUUGCUGUCACUUAUAGAUGGAUCCGCGCCGCAUUAGCUAGUUGGUAAGGUAACGGCUUACCAAGGCAACGAUGCGUAGCCGACCUGAGAGGGUGAUCGGCCACACUGGAACUGAGACACGGUCCAGACUCCAACGGGAGGCAGCAGUAGGGAAUCUUCCGCAAUGGGCGAAAGCUUGACGGAGCAACGCCGCGUGAGUGAUGAAGGUCUUCGGAUCGUAAAACUCUGUUAUUAGGGAAGAACAAAUGUGUAAGUAACUAUGCACGUCUUGACGGUACCUAAUCAGAAAGCCACGGCUAACUACGUG
rnacentral:rRNA from 1 species